GGGGAGCCGCGCGGGAGCGACGGCGGCAGCCGCGGCCGUGGAGAUUUAGGCCGGGCGGUCGGCCCGCAGCGCGGGGAGGUGGGAGGUUAGAAGAUGAUAGAUCAGAGAUUCUGGAUGAGAGCAUUCCACUCACUAAAGACAAGCUCCACAGGCAUUAGAACAGUUGUACACCACAUUUCCUUCCUAGAAGAGGAAGUGCCUGAAGUGGAGAAGAGCCAAGGUGCCUUUUUAAUACAAUUUGCCAGUUGUUUUGAUGUGCAACUAUUCCAUCUUUAAAAACACCUCCUCCAUGAUGGCACUUUAAGGUCUGCCAAUACUCUACCAAACCGAAGACAUUCCCUAUGAAUAAUGCAGGGCCAGAGAAUAACUACAACAACAAAAAAUUGGCUUCUUGGAUGGAAGAAGUCUACAAUUCAGAAUGAGCAGAAGCUUAAAACCAUGGAACAGUUCAGUUAGAAAAACAAAAAUCUCUCAUCAUGAGAUGAAGGGCAGUCUCUAAGAUACAAGGAACUUACUACAGAAUUUAUUCAAGUAAAAAGAUGGGGGUUGUGACUACAGUAACCGAGCGCUCCGAUCAAACACAGCCCUGCUACACUCCCUGUCCUGCACAGUUCUGUGUACACACCGGGCUUUUCGUGCUCAUUCUCCUACCAACUUCGACGAGGUGAUGCUGUAACAGUCACUAAUGACUUACUAUUCCAUGACUGUCACCACCACUGCUCAGUGCCAGAAACGGACAAAAGUGACAGGGCCAACACGAACCCACCAGCUUCACCAUCAACAAGGACUGAGUAUCACUAAGCUCUCAUCCCUUCCCAUUCAUCUAAUUCAGAAACAGCUCUUGACUAAGAGUAGCAAGCUGAUCAUGAUGUUUAUGACUGAUUUCUAAUUUGUAGCCAUGAUACGAAGAAGAAACAAUACUGAAUUUAUUAAGGGUCUACAGGAAAAUUUUCAGAAAUACCAAACCAACUCUAAUGCUGUGGUGUGAGUGAGCUAGUCUGCAGCACCCACGGUCAGAAGGAAACACAGCUGCAUGGAACACCGUGCACACAAACGCUAGGAAACCAAAGAAAAGUGUUGACUUAGUCUAUAAAUCUCAGGUCUCCAAAUUUCUCAGUUAAAUUACCUGCAGCAGAGACACUGCUCAGAGACAUCACACAAAGUCACUAAUGACAGUAAUUCAAAGAAAUCAUAUAGGCCAGGAAAAAAUUACUUCAACUUAGAUAUUGAUUUCCUCCAAGAUUUGUUGUGAGUAUAAGCACAGUGUAUUUACCUGACCUAAAUUCUAAAUGCAAGUUCAUAAUGUUUGUGACAGUAAAGGUGUUUCAGCUAGCAUUCCUCUCUACUCUUAAUUAAAAGGAUUGGAAUUAUAAAAAAACCUAUGAUUUAGUUAAUGUGAAAAGUAGUUGCUUUCUGUAUGUUAUCUGGAACCUUUCAUUUGAGAUAAACCCAAACCACUCUACAAAGAAUUAGCAUUCUGGUGAAGUACUUCACACAUAAUUAGCAUUCUGGUGAAAUACUUCACAUGUAGAGUCGUUAUCAGCCUGGUAACUCAUUUGCCACAUUGGAGAUAAGAACCCAAACCCAGCUAUGAAGAGCACUUCCACAGGUAUCCUCUGCCUUCUCAGAGAUGGCGAGGAUUAAACAGAACACAACAGAAAAUUACACUCUCUUACCAGUUACUGCCUCUAAAGACACUGAAUGAAAGCCAUGAACUGCUGUUUUUGUUAUCUGUGUUCAUUCCUACCUGUACACCUUUAUAAUCAAGCAUCUUAUCUGCAGUUACAAAAAAUACCCAGGCCUAAUACAUUCUCCUUCAUGAUGCAAGAGUGAAUGUCAUCAUCUGGGUAAUUAGACUGAUCCAUGUACUCACUCCCAGCCAAGGACAUUUUUUUCAUCCUCACGAAGGACAAGGAAACAAGGUUUGCAUCUGAAUCUCUAACUUAUGUUAGUUUUGAAAGCUGACAAAGGCAAACCAGUUACUUCGUUAUAAACAGCAUCUGAGUUCAUGGCUCCGUUAUCAGAUGUUCUGAGAAUAUUCAUAUUAUCCCCUUGCACUUUCUUCUCUCCCAAGAUCCAUUUCUAAAGGCACACACUGAAGAGAAUUAGGAAAAACCCUUAAGUGUUAUAAAGUGUUAUAGCUCUGUACUGUGUAUUAGGCUUUGGUAAGCAAUAACAGAACGUGCCAAGCUCUGCCCUACUUAUCUGCCCAUCCUUGUGCCUGUGCUGUGGUUAUUCAGUUUUAAUGCCUAGGCACCUCUGGACAAAAGCUAUUUCCUGGUAAAAUAAAAAUAAUACCAUUUACGACAAAGUACCAAUGCGUAAGUGGUGAAAAAGCUUUUGAGAAUAACAAUGGAUAUUUACACUGCAAGCAUCUGUAUUGAGAAAUGGUUGUAUUAAACAACCACACUUUAAGACCAGAAAGAGUAACUUCUACACACUUCAGAGCAACAAUAUGUUAGUUACUUCCACGAGCAGAACUAAAACUUCCCUAAGAAAAAUUUUAAGAUUGCAGUUUUGCUUCUAUUGUAAAUACAUCUAAUAUAACUUAGAAAUUUUACAUCAUUUUACAUCAAAAGAUGUAAGAGGUAACUGAAAAUGCUUAACAACAGUGCUGAAUCAGCAAUGCCAGUUUCAUACAGCGACACUAUAUUUAUUAUUACAGUGACACAAUUUAUUACUGUGACACUAUAACAUGAUGGAAAACACAGCACUGACAGUGGGAUAGCAAAGUCCCAGGCUGCAGCAAGUGAGGAUAAGCUGAAUUGCAGCAGACGUGGAUGCAGAAACAAAGGAAGAAGUCUGCUUACCCUUGGAAGGCCUCAGCUGGGCAGGGAUCUCCAGCAAGAUACUCUUGCCUCCACUGCCAACCCUUAAAUGAGGGCUGGAGGAGGUG